rnacentral:ncRNA from 1 species
UUAUUACUUAAUAUACACAUGCAAGCAUCCACACCCCGGUGAAAACGCCCUUUAACCCCCUCUUAGGGGCCAGGAGCCGGUAUCAGGCACAAUAAUCUGCCCAAAACACCUAGCUUUGCCACACCCACAAGGGAAUUCAGCAGUGAUUAACAUUGAGCAUAAGCGUAAGCUUGACUCAGUUAAAGUAAAUAGAGCCGGCCAAUCUGGUGCCAGCCGCCGCGGUUACACCACGUGGCUCAAAUUGACCUCCACUCCGGCGUAAAGCGUGAUUAAAGUUUUUUUCAACUAGAGAUAAACCUUAACUGAGCUGUGACACGCUUGUUUACUAAGAAACUCAAAAACGAAAGUUACUCUAAUACAACCAACUUGAAUUCACGAUAGCUGGGAAACAAACUGGGAUUAGAUACCCCACUAUGCCCAGCCAUAAACCUUUAAUUACAUCCCCCAUAAUCGCCAGGGAACUACGAGCCAAGCUUAAAACCCAAAGGACUUGACGGUACCCCAUAUCCCCCUAGAGGAGCCUGUCCUAUAACCGAUAAUCCACGUUAGACCUCACCAUUUCUAGUUAUCAGCCUGUAUACCUCCGUCGUCAGCUUACCACGUGAGCGCUGAUUAGUGAGCCAAAUGUUUAUUCACCAACACGUCAGGUCAAGGUGCAGCAAAUGAAAUGGAAAGAGAUGGGCUACACUUUCUAAAUUAGAAUAGACGAAAAACUUUAUGAAACCUAGUUAGAAGGCGGAUUUAGCAGUAAAAAGGAAUCAGAAUGUCCAUUUUAACCAGGCACUGGGGUGUGUACACACCGCCCGUCACCCUCUUCAAAGUCAUCAACAAGUCUUUAACAAACUGAGACACAAUAGAAGAGGCAAGUCGUAACAUGGUAAGUAUACCGGAAGGUGUGCUUGGAAA